ensembl:lncRNA
CAAAUUACAGUUCCGCUAAAGUUGCUGAUCAGUUCCAAAGGUCAAGUGAGAAGCUUGACACCAGUCUAUCUGGGCAAAGGGCGGCAGGAGCUGUUCCCUUCCUAUAGUUGAAUUAGCUUGUUACAGGUUGUUACUUCUGUAUGUGAAUCACGCACAGGAACAGUAUGCACUGACCAUUCAACAUCUAUUCAGUUCUAGGCUGCUGUCUCAUUUCAUCUAUUGCUUUAGAGCAGGGAUAAGAGGAGUUACGAUCUUGCCAAAUGAGAGGCCUCUUCUAGAGUUAAUGAAUGCUUUCCAACUUCGUAUGCAAAGGGUAAAUUGCUCUGUGAUCCGGGUGGAGUACAAUGGAAGAGCCUUCCCAGCCUUUGUGUGUGAGUUUCCCUGCAAGGAGAUAAGAGCCCAUGGUGAGCUGAGAUAUACCCACAUCCCUUCCUGGCAGACAGGAAACUCCACUACUCGGGUCUGUCAAACCUGCAGCCUGGCUGGCAAAGUGCAGCUGCCGAGAAA